rnacentral:rRNA from 1 species
GACGAACCGUGCGAACGUUAUUCGGAAUCACUGGGCUUAAAGCGCGUGUAGGCGGGUCGGCACGUCGGGAGCUGAAAUCCCCCGGCUCAACCGGGGAAGGGGCGCCGAUACGACCGGCCUGGAGGGACGUAGGGGGGGCUGGAACUUCCGGUGGAGCGGUGAAAUGCGUUGAGAUCGGAAGGAACGCCCGUGGCGAAAGCGAGCCCCUGGACGUCUACUGACGCUGAGACGCGAAAAGCCAGGGGAGCGAACGGG